GGCGCCUCGGCACAGAGUCAGAGCCAGAGUCAGGGGUUGUCCUUUUACAGAGAUCCGAACUCUGUUCCGGUGUCACGGCACCGCUUGGGCCUCCUCUGCUCUCUGACCUCACUCUGAGUAUCUCUUCUCUCUCAAUUGUUCUCUUACAUUCUGUCCCCAGCUCUGACCUCCUCCGUCUCCCUUGUCUUUUACGUUCCCUUCCCUCUUUGUACUCUUUUCUCCUUUCACUGACGAUUUCAUUUGCUUCUCCGGUUUUCAGUGGCAAUUCUGUGCCCCUCACACCCAUCGUGAUAGGAGAUGUUCCACUUAUAGAGCACCUGCUGCAUACCAGGCGCUCUGCUCAUGCCCCUCAUCCACUCCUCCUGCCACCUUCCUUUUACACAAGAGCAGGUGGAGCAGCUGGCGAGGGGGGCAGUGGAUGUCACCCUCAGGCCCGGGUGUCCCCGUAGCCUGUGUGUGCCCCCGUCGGCGGCCCUCACCUUCCAUCACAGUCUCGUCGUUAGCAGCCUGUUAGAAUGCAGAUUCCCGGCUCCACCUGCAGAGCUCCUGGCCUGUCGCAUGAUUAAAAAAAAAAAAUGAAAUUAGGGAAAAUCAGAGUUACCCAAUGUGUAGGACUUCCCUGGUGGACUGCAACAAUUGUCCUCUGGAGGACAUGUCAGAGGUGGCUCUCCCAAAUACCUGUGGAAACCAGCAGCGUCGCAAGAGUCUGUUUGCCGGGCACCCCCUCUCGUGUGUGGCUCUGCGGUCCAGUCGCCAAAUCCUUCUUUCUAAGCAAAGAGAAGGUACUAGCAGGUAGGC
rnacentral:lncRNA from 1 species